AUGACUCCUGAGGGAAACAUGGUAGAGAAGCUGAGGGAGGCCAUAGAGAGGUUAGAAAGUGUUGCUAAAGAUUUGGGUGGUUUCCUUCAGCUUUUAUGCCGUGUUGAUAAUCUUGUCCUGCAAGAUCGUGCUGAAAGAAGUGUAUACCAGACUAGCUCCACUUUGGUGCCUAUUGAGAUAUUUGGUCGUGACAGUGAGAAGAACCAGGUGAUAAGGUGGUUGACUGAUAAUGUACAUGAUGAUCCAGAUACUGUUACUCAGGUACCGGUUUUUGCAAUAAUCGGAAUUGGAGGUAUAGGAAAGACAACCCUUGCUCAGAUUGUCUGCGAAGAGUUGAAA
rnacentral:rRNA from 1 species